rnacentral:rRNA from 1 species
GUUAGGAAUAUUGGACAAUGGGCGCAAGCCUGAUCCAGCCAUGCCGCGUGAGUGAUGAAGGCCUUCGGGUUGUAAAGCUCUUUAGCCGAUGAUUAUAAUGACUGUAGUCGGAAAAUAAGCCCCGGCUAACUUCGUGCCAGCAGCCGCGGUAAUACGAAGGGGGCUAGCGUUGUUCGGAUUUACUGGGCGUAAAGCGCACGUAGGCGGUUUGUUAAGUCAGGGGUGAAAUCCCGGAGCUCAACUCCGGAACUGCCUUUGAUACUGGCAAGCUAGAGUCCGGAAGAGGUAAGUGGAACUCCUAGUGUAGAGGUGGAAUCCGUAGAUAUUAGGAAGAACACCAGUGGCGAAGGCGGCUUACUGGUCCGGAACUGACGCUGAGGUGCGAAAGCGUGGGGAGCAAACAGGAUUAGAAACCCGGGUAGUCC